ACGAGUCGAAUGACGAACUCAGGUUACGUCAUAAGUUUGAGUCUGAGUGAGUGCGGUUGAGAAAUGGCUUAUCGAGUCUGAGCGAUGCUCUGAGAGCAAAAUGCAUUUCUUCAGAGAGUCUGGGUCACCGUCAGUAUCAUUAUUGUUACAAAUGUGCAG